rnacentral:rRNA from 1 species
AACGAACGCUGGCGGCAGGCCUAACACAUGCAAGUCGAACGCCCUGGCAACAGGGAGUGGCAGACGGGUGAGUAACGCGUGGGAAUCUACCUUGUGGUACGGAACAACCAAGGGAAACUUUGGCUAAUACCGUAUGAGCCCUUCGGGGGAAAGAUUUAUCGCCAUAAGAUGAGCCCGCGUAGGAUUAGCUAGUUGGUGAGGUAAUGGCUCACCAAGGCGACGAUCCUUAGCUGGUCUGAGAGGAUGACCAGCCACACUGGGACUGAGACACGGCCCAGACUCCUACGGGAGGCAGCAGUGGGGAAUAUUGGACAAUGGGCGCAAGCCUGAUCCAGCCAUGCCGCGUGUGUGAUGAAGGCCUUAGGGUUGUAAAGCACUUUCGCCGAUGAAGAUAAUGACUGUAGUCGGAGAAGAAGCCCCGGCUAACUUCG